UAAAAACAAACUGGUGACAAGCCUUUCGGG
rnacentral:piRNA from 1 species